CUUGCCCUUGGUUCUGAGUUUUCUCCUGAGUUUGUUAUCUGGGUCUUUUUUUCCAUUUUUUGGAUUCGUUAUGUUUUUUUUUUCCUUCAUUAGUAUGCUUCUGACUUCUUCAUUUCAAUGGAUUGAAAAUGUGAAGAUUUUAAAAGUCUCUCAGUAUUGAACUCUUCAUUUCAAUGGAUCCUGCUAAUGAGGUAGCCGAUCGUGAUGUUCUCAUGUUAGAGUCUGCAGAGCAUUCGGCUUCUACAUUACCUCCUCUUCCAACCACAUCAUCUGAGCACAAAAAUCGAUCAACAAGUUGGGACCACUUCAAAAGAACCUCUGAUGAUGAAAAUAAAGCUCAAUGUUAACACUAUUUGAAAGUGAUCAAGUGCAGGAAUGAAACAAGAAGAUAUUAGAUAUGCUUUUCUAUAUAUAAUUAGAUUUGCUUAUGUUUAUGUUUAUGCUUAUGUUUAUGUUGGUUUGUUUGAGGCACAACUUACUAGUGCUGCAUACCAACUUCUUGGUAUGGGCUGAUUUGGGAUUCAUACCAAAAAUAUUUGGUGAUAGAUUAAAGAAAUUCAAUACUCUUUGGAUGGGGAUAUUGAUGUCAACAAUUAUAGCAGUUGCAAUGUCAUUUUUUAUUUUCAAUGA